rnacentral:rRNA from 1 species
UGGGGGAUAUUGCACAAUGGGGGAAACCCUGAUGCAGCGACGCCGCGUGGAGGAAGAAGGUUUUCGGAUUGUAAACUCCUGUCGUUAGGGACGAUAAUGACGGUACCUAACAAGAAAGCACCGGCUAACUACGUGCCAGCAGCCGCGGUAAAACGUAGGGUGCAAGCGUUGUCCGGAAUUACUGGGUGUAAAGGGAGCGCAGGCGGACCGGCAAGUUGGAAGUGAAAACUAUGGGCUCAACCCAUAAAUUGCUUUCAAAACUGCUGGCCUUGAGUAGUGCAGAGGUAGGUGGAAUUCCCGGUGUAGCGGUGGAAUGCGUAGAUAUCGGGAGGAACACCAGUGGCGAAGGCGGCCUACUGGGCACCAACUGACGCUGAGGCUCGAAAGUGUGGGUAGCAAACAGGAUUAGAUACCCUGGUAGUCCACACCGUAAACGAUGAUUACUAGGUGUUGGAGGAUUGACCCCUUCAGUGCCGCAGUUAACACAAUAAGUAAUCCACCUGGGGAGUACGACCGCAAGGUUGAAACUCAAAGGAAUUGACGGGGGCCCGCACAAGCAGUGGAGUAUGUGGUUUAAUUCGACGCAACGCGAAGAACCUUACCAAGUCUUGACAUCCUGCGACGAUGCUGGAAACAGUAUUUUCCUUCGGGACACAGAGACAGGUGGUGCAUGGUUGUCGUCAGCUCGUGUCGUGAGAUGUUGGGUUAAGUCCCGCAACGAGCGCAACCCUUACUGUCAGUUACUACGCAAGAGGACUCUGGCAGGACUGCCGUUGACAAAACGGAGGAAAGUGGGGAUGACGUCAAAUCAUCAUGCCCUUUAUGACUUGGGCUACACACGUACUACAAUGGCGUUAAACAAAGAGAAGCAAGACCGCGAGGUGGAGCAAAACUCAGAAACAACGUCCCAGUUCGGACUGCAGGCUGCAACUCGCCUGCACGAAGUCGGAAUUGCUAGUAAUCGUGGAUCAGCAUGCCACGGUGAAUACGUUCCC